rnacentral:rRNA from 1 species
GCAUCGAUGAAGAACGCAGCGAAAUGCGAUAAGUAAUGUGAAUUGCAGAAUUAGUGAAUCAUCGAAUCUUUGAACGCACAUUGCACAUCUUGCUCCGCAAGAUGUAUAUCUGUUCGAGCGCCUUUUAUAGAUUAAGGGUUUCCCUUGUGUUGUUUUAUCAAUGAAUGAUUCAACGAAAUUUAUUGGCGUAAACUUUUGCCAUGAUCGCAGCAAAAUGUGAAAGUGGUUUGGAGAAUAUCGCCUUGAGCAUAAUUUUCUAAUCUAGGCCUCGAAUCAGAUAGGGAUACCCGCUGAACUUAAGCAUAUCAAUAAGCGGAGGA